rnacentral:lncRNA from 1 species
CAAUAAUCUGCUGAAAGCACGAAUUCUUCUAACCAGUCCCCUUCCUUAGCACGCCCCAGAUGCGAACAAUGAAGCCCAUGGAGAACAGCGUGGCAGUUUCUGCAUGGUGAAAAGCUGGCAACAUUUGCUUGAAAACAGGCUGGCAGCACUGUGGGAAGGCACUCAUCCAUUGCCCUGACCCAUCCCUGAGGAACCGAGUUCUGAUGGAUACCAUUACAGCAACACGUGCUCUGACACGACGGGACAUGUGGACACGUGCAGGUGUUCUCAAAACCUCUCCCCCGAUUCCUUCCUUUGGUGUCAUGGUUCACUUCCAUUGGGAUCACGCAACAAGAAGUGGGAUGUGAAAAACCCCGUUUGUUGGAUGUUUACAUCUCAGCCAUAGCAGCCCAAGUCUGUGAGUACUGAAGCACAGAAGCCACUACUGUUGCUGUUGAUCGGAUUAAAAGAAAAUGCAGUCCCACUGGAGACUUAUGGCCAUUCAGGGGAAAACAAAAUAGAAAAAAAGAGAGAACAAAAACCUGGAAGAAGUUGGAGUGCUCCUGGGAGAUCAGAGCACAGGUCCAAGAGCCCUCUGCAGAGUGGAAAGAAACCAAGGGUGCUGACUUCAUAAAGAGGGAAANNNNNNNNNNNNNNNNNNNNNNNNNNNNNNNGGGAGAAACUUUGAUCUACCAAACUCUUCUGAAAGAGCCUGAGGGCACCGGGGAAACUCAUCCUGUUUGGGAUCAUGAAGAUGGAAUCAGGUGCACGCAGAAAAUGCUGCUCGUUUCCCUCCUCCUGGCUUCUGAGAACAGUUUUUGAGCUCAUGGCUCCUGCUAGCUGUCACUUUGCUCUCCUGUCAGAAAAGAGUUUGUGGAGCAGUAUUGGCUGAGGAGACUUUAAGUCUCGAUCCUCUUUGUAAAUGAAAGCAAAACAUAUCAGAAGGGUAGAGUAUUACUCUUCCAUUUUUUUUGGGGGGGGGGGGGGGGGGGGGGGUUUUUUUUGCUUUGCUUUGUUUUGCUGUUUUUUUUGUUUUGUAAAACAGGAAGUUUAGACAAAAUUGCACUUAAAUGAGACUGGUCUCUUCCAUUUGCCUUGUUUUGAGCGUUCUUGCCUACCUGCCUGAUAGGAGCCAAGAUGGGCACCUCGAUACUAAUUCAUAGAAUCAUUUGAGUUGGAAGGGACUUUUAAAGGCUG